rnacentral:rRNA from 1 species
GACGAACGCUGGCGGCGUGCUUAACACAUGCAAGUCGAACGGAAAGGCCUGCUUUCCCUUGUGGAUUGCGGGUACUCGAGUGGCGAACGGGUGAGUAACACGUGAGUGAUCUGCCCCCAACUUGGGUAUAAGCCUGGGAAACUGGGUCUAAUUCCCGAUAGGACUGCAGGGUGGUGCCUGUGGUGGAAAACGAUUUUCUAGUGGUUGGGGAUGAGCUCGCGGCCUAUCAGCUUGUUGGUGGGGUAAUGGCCUACCAAGGCGGCGACGGGUAGCCGGCCUGAGAGGGUGGACGGGCACAUUGGGACUGAGAUACCGCCCAGACUCCUACGGGAGGCAGCAGUGGGGAAUAUUGCACAAUGGGCGGAAGCCUGAUGCAGCGACGCCGCGUGGGGGAUGACGGCCUUCGGGUUGUAAACUCCUUUCGACCGCGAGGAAGCCACCUGGUUGGAAGGGUGGUGACGGUAGUGGUAGAAGAAGCACCGGCUAACUACGUG